UACGGAGGGAGCUAGCGUUGUUCGGAAUUAUUGGGCGUAAAGAGCUCGUAGGCGGCCUGUUGCGUCCGCUGUGAAAGCCCGGGGCUUAACCCCGGGUCUGCAGUGGAUACGGGCAGGCUAGAGGUAGGUAGGGGAGAAUGGAAUUCCCGGUGUAGCGGUGAAAUGCGUAGAUAUGCGGAGGAACACCGAUGGCGAAGGCAAUCCCCUGGACCUGUACUGACGCUCAUGCACGAAAGCGUGGGGAGCAAACAGG
rnacentral:rRNA from 1 species